UACGGAGGGGGCUAGCGUUGUUCGGAAUCACUGGGCGUAAAGGGUGCGUAGGCGGGUCUUUAAGUCAGGGGUGAAAUCCUGGAGCUCAACUCCAGAACUGCCUUUGAUACUGAAGAUCUUGAGUUCGGGAGAGGUGAGUGGAACUGCGAGUGUAGAGGUGAAAUUCGUAGAUAUUCGCAAGAACACCAGUGGCGAAGGCGGCUCACUGGCCUGAUACUGACGCUGAGGAGCGAAAGCGUGGGGAGCGAACAGG
rnacentral:rRNA from 1 species